rnacentral:tRNA from 1 species
AGGGGGAAUGGUCGGGAUAGCUCAGU